GGCUGUUGUCCUUGAGCCGCUGUCCUUCUUGCAGUGCAACCUUUGCUGUCUCGGAAGCCACUCCCGGCUCGGAAAACAGCUGUCCCCAGGAGUCUCUCUCUGUGGUUCUUGAAAUAUGCCUGCACUCACCCAAUUGCUCCAUGUGGUCUCGGAACCCCUUGAUGCUGGCUGGUCUCCAGAAGGCCCUGGCAGACUCCAUGGAAGAGGCCUGUUCUUGUGGCGUCUGCCCAUGUUAUUUGCAAGGGCUUAAUUUCACCUGUUUCGACUCCGUCCUGAAGCUCUCCGGCCAGCUGUGGGCCAGGUCACGUGAGCAGCUGCAG